rnacentral:pre_miRNA from 1 species
AUUACCUCUGGAUAUUGUUAAAAUGCAGAAUCUGAUUCAGUGCAUCUGGGGUCAGGCCCAAGAUUCUGCAUUUUCACAAGUUCGUAAGUAAUGCUGC